GAUGAACGCUAGCUACAGGCUUAACACAUGCAAGUCGAGGGGUAGCAGGGUAGCAAUACCGCUGACGACCGGCGCACGGGUGAGUAACACGUAUCCAACCUUCCCAUAACUCGGGGAUAGCCUUUCGAAAGAAAGAUUAAUACCCGAUAGUACUUAUAUAGGGCAUCUUAAAUAAGUUAAAGAUUUAUUGGUUAUGGAUGGGGAUGCGUUCCAUUAGAUAGUUGGUGAGGUAACGGCUCACCAAGUCUUCGAUGGAUAGGGGUUCUGAGAGGAAGGUCCCCCACAUUGGUACUGAGACACGGACCAAACUCCUACGGGAGGCAGCAGUGAGGAAUAUUGGUCAAUGGGCGCGAGCCUGAACCAGCCAAGUAGCGUGAAGGAUGAAGGUCCUAUGGAUUGUAAACUUCUUUUAUAGUAGAAUAAAGUGACCUACGUGUAGGUUUUUGUAUGUAUACUAUGAAUAAGGAUCGGCUAACUCCGUGCCAGCCGCCGCCGUAA
rnacentral:rRNA from 1 species